AGUUUCCACACAUUUCCUUGUACUCCAAUUUACUCUCAAAGUUUUGAUGGAAAUUUCUAUUGCAUAUAUGAUUACUAGCUAUUUUCAGCCUUGAAUUAUCAGGACAUUCUAGGAUUCUAUUUUUUGCAUUUUCACUUGUGGAUUUUAUGUAAUCCAAUUACUUGUAUAUGUUUCCUUGAGCAGAUGUUGGGUUUGGAGAUGAUAUGUAUGAAGGAUUGACAAAAAUGGUUAAUGAAAUGCAGACAAUCAGCUCUAAGAAUACUAUGCUCAUAGUUUCUUGACAGUAUUAACAUUAGUAUUUAAGGAUGAGUUCUAGCGGAGAAAGGCCUAAAUGGAGUGUGUUUGAAGAUAUAAAGAAUAUAUCUGCAGCUCCCGAGGCACUUAUGGCCGAUAUCAAUGCUGCUAUCAGCGCCCUCGAGCAUGCUCGUGCUGCGGCUGCUACCUUCUUACACUCGUCUCCUUCCUCUUCAAAAACAAAAACGCUGAUAAAAAGUUGAUUCAUGUGAUGCUGAAAAGGCCGGUGAAGCUACAAUACUGGAUUGAGCUUUGAACGUCUCGUUUAAGUGUGGAUAACUUCGGAUAAAAAGUUAUGGCUUUGAACGUCUCGUUUAAGUGCGGAUAAAAAGUUAUCCACACUCAUCUCUUUAAGUGUGGAUAACUUUGAACGUCUCGUUUCUCUUACAUCGAUGACUCAGGAAGCCCGAGUGUCGCACCUGAAGGUUGGGGAUGGACUCGAAAUUGGAUCGUGGCAGCUGGUAUGUUUUCCUAUCAGUCAGAAAAUGACUUGGUUUAUCAAGAUGUGAAAGAUAUGCAGAAAUAUGUUGGAGUUGAUAAUGUUAUAGGCUAGUUUCUAUAUAAUAUGAAUAUGAUGCAUAUUAUUCAAGAAACCGAAAACAGAGUAGACAAACAUUUGUGAGGAGUGUUUUGCAUUCAAAAGGUGAUUGCUUUUAUUAAAAGAAAA